rnacentral:rRNA from 1 species
UACGUAGGGCGCGAGCGUUGUCCGGAAUUAUUGGGCGUAAAGAGCUCGUAGGCGGUCUGUCGCGUCGAUCGUGAAAAACUUGGGGCUUAACCCUGAGCUUGCGGUCGAUACGGGCAUGACUGGAGUUCGGCAGGGGAGACUGGAAUUCCUGGUGUAGCGGUGAAAUGCGUAGAUAUCGAGAGGAACACCUGCGGCGAAGGCGGGUUGCUGGGCUGACACUGACGCUGAUGCGCGAAAGCCAGGGAGCGAACGGG